rnacentral:lncRNA from 1 species
GGGCUCUCUGUAAAAUGGACCAAUCAGCAGGAUGUGGGUGGGGCCAGAUAAGAGAAUAAAAGCAGGCUGCCGGAGCUAGCGGUAGCAACCCGUUUGGUUAUCUUUCUGUGCUGUGGAAGGUUUGUUCUUUCACUCUGCACUAUUUUGCAAUAAAUAUUGCUAUUGCUCACUUUGGGUUUAUAUUGCCUUUAUGAGCUGUAACACUCACCAUGAAGGUCUGCAGCUUUACUCUUGAAGCUUAGCGAGACCACUAACCCACCAGAAGGAAGAAACUCCGGACACGCCGCCUUUAAGAACUGUAAUACUCAGUGCGAGGGUUCACGGCUUCAUUCUUGAGAAAGACAACGAGGAGGGAGCAGCUAGAGGGGUGGAAAUGGGAUCACGUGACCUUGCGAGAAGCAGGGAGAGAGAACACUGCGUCUGCUCCCUUUUAGAACAGCUCAAUAUAGGGAAUCCCUAACAGAGGACUUCCAGGAUAUCCUAGGGACAGCAGAGCCUCAAGAUCCAGGGAGGAUCCUGGAUACCUGAGUCACCACUUGGAGGGGAAUCUCCUGGAAGAACUGAUUGAUCAGCAACAUCUACAUUCAACUUGAGGUUGUUCCGUAAGACAGGAUGGCACAGAGCUUUAAGCAACAGCUCUGGCAUCUGACUUCCGUGUUUGCAUCUGGCUUUGAGUGUGACUUUGGACAAGUUCCUUAGCUGGCCAGAUACUCUUGUCCUCAUCCAUAAGAUGGAGCAACAACGAAGCCUUUCUCAUAGGUUAUUGUGAGGAUUGAAUGAAUUAGUAUAUGCCAAGCAUUUGAAGCAGUGCCUGACAUGUAGUAGAUGCUGAGUAACACUGGGGAUCUGCCUUUUCUUUUUCCUCUAUGUGACUGGCAGCCUUAGCCAGACCACAUCAGCUGAGAUGAUUUUCUCUGUAAGUUACCAGGAUCACCUAGAUCUGGCCAAGGACUUGCCCCUGUAAGGAAAUUUGGAAUAAGCAAAAAAGAUCACUAGGUGUCGCCGAUGGAAAACUAGGUUGUUUUGAGCAUACCUUUGCAUGUUAUCUGAUUUUAGCCUUUCAGGGUCUUUGAGCUAUUUUAUGGCUCUGUAGGUUGUACAUAACUGAUAGCAAUGCAAAAUAAUUCUUGUCUAUAGACAUGCAAAUAAAUCCUGUCCAGCGGUUCAAUUGACUACCCUCUUCCCUAAGGAAAAAGCCAGUUUCAGUCUAUUUGUAAAUUCAUUUCCACUUUCCUUACUCCCUAUAAAUUUCUGCUUUUCAGAUUUCUCCUUUGUUAACGUCUGCCUGGUUCCCUCAUUAAGUCAAAUAAAAUCUUUAACACGUUAAAGUAUGAGAGUCAUGAUCUCACCUGUUUUAGGAAAAUUAUCUUUUAAUACUUCUGAUAGGAAAGUUUCCUAAGCAGACCAAAAAGUAGGUACCACGGUCCCGUCUCCUAGUGGUGUGACCUUGAUCCAGCUAUUUUUCUAUCCUGGUCUCAGUUUUCACAUCUAUGAAAUGGGAGUAACAUUAUACACCUAAGAGUACGCCUGAGUAUUUCUAAGAACUAUAUGGAAAGCAUCCAGCCUCCACCUGGGCACAGAGAAGCUGCUUAAGGAAAAGGAGCUGGCAUUGUUGCAGGGAUGGUGAUGUUUAAUCCUGGUUAUUGGUAACUCAGUCAGCAGAGGUAGCAUAGGUGUCGAAACAUAGGGAGAAGGACAACAGACAGGAUGUGCUUUCUAAGGCUAACAUGGAUGGGAACAGAGAGGAGAGGAGACCUUCCUGGGCCGAGCUGCCUGUCACCUACCCGUGCACUCAGCACCUCUGCAGCUGUCACUGGACACAUCCAACCCAGAGUGCAAUUGACAUGGGAAAAAACUGCACAUGUAGACGUUUCAGUGUGGUGAGAGUAUGUUGGCAUGGAGAUGGCUGCGUCUGCCCUCGUCAGGAUGAAGGAGGGGACGGUCAGUGAGGUGCCAGGAAAAGAAGAGAAGUGCAAAUCUGGGUGUGUCGGCUUGUUUCCCGGGGAGGUGUUGCUU